rnacentral:rRNA from 1 species
GAUGAACGCUGGCGGCGUGCCUAACACAUGCAAGUCGAACGGAGUCCAGCCUUUAAGACCUUCGGGUCACAGAGGGGAAGACUGAGUGGCGGACGGGUGAGUAACACGUGGGCAACCUGGCUCAUAGAGGGGGAUAACAGAGAGAAAUUUCUGCUAAUACCGCAUAAGCACACACUGCCGCAUGGCAGAGGGUGAAAAGAGAAUCGCUAUGAGAUGGACCCGCGUCUGAUUAGCCAGUUGGCAGGGUAAGAGCCUACCAAAGCGACGAUCAGUAGCCGAUCUGAGAGGAUGAACGGCCACAUUGGGACUGAGACACGGCCCAAACUCCUACGGGAGGCAGCAGUGGGGGAUAUUGCACAAUGGGGGGAACCCUGAUGCAGCGACGCCGCGUGAGUGAAGAAGUAUUUCGGUAUGUAAAGCUCUAUCAGCAGGGAAGAUAAUGACAGUACCUGAAUAAGAAGCCCCGGCUAACUACGUG